rnacentral:lncRNA from 10 species
CUCAGACACCGUUUCUGGAGACAGACCAGUUUGAAGCAGAAGAAUGUCCUGAUAAUGGCAUAGAGCCAAAGCGAUUCCAUCCUCUGGACAUGAGCUGUGUGGUGUCCCCGUCCUCAUACCUAUUCCAGAACCACACUGGUCCCUGCUCUCGUCUCCGAACUGUCGGAGGAUGGACCUGCUUUUGCAAGGACCUGAACUCCCUGUGUUGUUGCUUAAGAUUUUUACCCAGGCAUGAAAAGGAAAUGAAUUCUGCCAACUCAUCGCUGUGUCUGUGGGAACAGAAACUCAGGGCACCUAUUCUCUGCAAGAAAAGCAUCAAUUCCCUGUAAGAAAAGUUUCCCACCUGAGACAAUGACACAGACCAACAUAAAUGCUCUUUUGGUUUUAUGAUUUCUGAUAUUAGAUUUUACUUGAUUUUUUUAUUUUUAAUUUUUUAAAUUUCAUUUUGAGAGUUAAAAGGGUUACUUCUUUUAUUUCCAGCAGUUCAAGGAAUUUCAGAGCAAUCUUGGUCCAGAGUUGGUAAUAAAGACAUUUAAAUGAGAUGGGAAUACUGUCUGUUAUGCUGACCAGUACUAAGUCUCCCGCAGUUCAUUUUUCCUGAGAAUAAAUGCCUG